UUGAAAGGGAAACGAUUGAAGUCAGUCGUACCGGCGGAUAAUCAGCCUUUCGAGUAUGAUUCUGUGGAGUGUGGGGAGUUUAACCGCCUUCAUACCUGCAUAUUUGUGCGCUUUGGGUGUACUUGUCCGUAUGGUAGGUUAACAUCAAUUUUGGUCGUUAUAAAAUGGCUAGGGGAAUGUAGCUUUGAUCUCGUAUUGAAGUGUUAUAGCCUCUGGUAAAUGUAGUGACUAGGAUUGAGGAUUGCAACGGAUACCUUUCGGGGCUACUCGUCUGAUCUCUGGAAGUUACUUUGGUGCUAAAAGCUUGCUUAUGGUUAUCGAAGUUGACAGCCAAUAGGUUAGAACGGGUUAAAUUCGUUAAGGAUGUUGACGUA
rnacentral:rRNA from 1 species